AGCGAGGCGAAACUAGUGGGGGCAAAGUUUCAGUGCAUUCCGUUGAUGUAGACGGCGUGAAAACGGAAACAAGAAGUAUGCCGUCUCACUGUGCUGCAUACAAUUACACACUACGUCGUACGAUUGAGACAAGGAAACUUGGAAUGACUUUUCAUAGGUUUCCCAGAGACUAUGGGUUGAGGAGGAAUUGGAAGUUUGUCGGCUUAGACCUGGUGUCAUUCCAUCAGUGUUAAACUUCCCGGCUCAUCUUGGAAGAGUACGUGCCAGAAAGACCACGACCAAGCAGCCUUGAGAUCUUAGACAGCGUCUCCCUCAGGUCCCUCUCUAUCUCCCCACACAUCCACCAACCACUGGAACACAUCUCCAAAGUUCUGCCGGGCCAGCUCAGCUUCCCCUCAGAAGAAGUGCUGCCACCUGCCAGAUGAAGGAGCCUUUUGAGAGGCAGCUGGUAUCGUGAUUGGACUGUA